UACGUAGGGUGCAAGCGUUAAUCGGAAUUACUGGGCGUAAAGCGUGCGCAGGCGGUUAUAUAAGACAGUUGUGAAAUCCCCGGGCUCAACCUGGGAACUGCAUCUGUGACUGUAUAGCUAGAGUACGGUAGAGGGGGAUGGAAUUCCGCGUGUAGCAGUGAAAUGCGUAGAUAUGCGGAGGAGCACCGAUGGCGAAGGCAGCCCCCUGGGCUAACACUGACGCUCAUGCACGAAAGCGUGGGGAGCAAACAGG
rnacentral:rRNA from 1 species